UGCUUAUUCUUUUCAUCUCUGUAUAUGUUGCUUGAUUCAUCUUCUUGAAUCGUGUUCUUGUUGCCACACUGUGAUUCUUAGGCAACCUACAAUAUCAAUGGCUAUGUUGAUGACCUUACUUAUAUAAACUCUUCUUUCUCAUGAGCAUUAUUUUAUGCGUUGCAUAAAUGAUUCCCAUGAAUGCAGAUUGGAAGAAGAAUUAGAAACUAGCAAUGCGGAAGGACACUUAGGAAAAAGCUAUAAUGCUCAAAGGAAACAAAGCAACAUUGGUUGCUUCUUCUUAGAACUAUAAGCACUGAUGCAGUUCAGCGGAUCUUUUGUUUGUGUGGCAUGCAGACCGACAAGGCCACUCUCCUUGGAGAUGCAGUCAACUACAUCAGGCAACUGGAAGAGAAGGUGAAAACGUUAGAAGAGAAGGCUUCGGAGAGGACUGUGGAAUCCACCAUCCUUGUCAAGAAGACUCACAUCCCCACCGGUGACCACACCUCAGAUGCCGAGGGAAGUCCUUUUUCUGAGGCCUUUCCCAAGAUCACGGCCAGUUUGAAUGGGAACUCCAUCCUCGUGAGGGUUCAGUGCGAGAAGCGAAAGGGGCUGUUCGUGAAGGUGCUCUCCGAGAUCGAGAGGCACCAC
rnacentral:lncRNA from 1 species